GAUAAAACAGGCCUUGAGUUGUCUGUGCAAUUAAUUGAAAUUUAAUCGUAAUUAUGAUUUUGGCUCCCAAUGAUCACAAAAACAGAAUAAUCGAGA